GCAGAUUAAAAACAGGUAAACUAUCUGAAUGACUCAUGCAGUUGCUCAUGUGAUAUGGGAAACCACAGCAAAUUUUGAUCAGAAGAGUAAUAUCAACUAACUCCACUUGGACCGCAUGGAAACGAGGAAGGAGAAUACUACAGCAACCUGGAAGCCAGUGAAAAAUGAUGGCAACACUAUCUAAGAUGGUAAAAAAUUGACGAAGAAAAGCUCAUUUCGAACUGUUGAGGAGAGAAAUGUAUUUGCAGAGAGAGCAUGAAAAAUCAUGAACCACUCCAUGGGUUUUGCCUUGUGCAAGUGGAAGCAAGGGAAGAAGAUAAAGAGAUGUUUUUAUGGGGCUUCUCUACUUAACACAAUCCUGAGAUUUAACACAGGAUGGAAAAGAAGGCAUUAUAAAAUUUCAGUAAGAUGGGAUCUUGCCAUGUUGUUCAGGCUGGCCUUGAAUUACUGGACUCGAGUGAUCCUCCAACCUCGGCCUCCUGAGUACAUAUUCCCUGGUCUAUAGAUGAAGAAAUGAAGGUUCAAGAAUACUGGACAUCUGGACUAAUUAAAUGACAACUAAAUGGCAGAAAUGGUAUUUAAGCUCAGGCCUAGCAGAUGCAAAGUCAUGGGCACAUGUCAAGUAUGUAAUAUUGUAUAGCCUAUUAACUCAUCAAUUUAGUCUUUAGAAGGCUGAAUUUCUAAUAUGUAUCAGGAAUAACAUAAAAGGUUGAGAGGAAAACCAUAAAAAGACAAGAUCCAUAUGCAAGUUUAAUUAAUUCAAUAGAAUUUUAAUUAUUUGCCAUGUACUAGUAGUUGUGUGAGACACUACUGACAAAUAAAAAGAUAAGUUAAAAACAUGUAAAAUUAAAUAACAUGCUAUACUAGGGGACUAUAAAAGGACAGAGGAGAAAAGGAAGAUAGACUUAAAGUUGGGGUGGUCAUUGAGUUGAAUUUUAAAGGAAACAGGAAGCUUUUUCCCAUUUUGGAAGUUUUGGGAGGGGUUCCAAAUGGAUGUGAUAGCACAUGCAAAGAUACAGAGAUGAGAAAGUAUGCACAUAAGCUCUUCAUGUUUCUUAAUACAAAGCUUGAGAUGAAGCAGGGGAACUGGACAGGACUGCAUAUAAGAGAAAGUUUUGUCUGCCCAAACACACAAUGCUAUUAUAUUCCUCAGUCUUGGCUCCGAUAGUCCUGUUUUACUGGGCUGUCUGUCAAAUCCUCUCUUGUCCAAACUGUAAAAUUUCAUCUAUCA
rnacentral:lncRNA from 10 species